UACGGAGGGUGCAAGCGUUGUUCGGAAUCAUUGGGCGUAAAGGGCGCGUAGGCGGCUUAUCAAGUCAGGCGUGAAAUUCCCGGGCUCAACCUGGGGGCUGCGCUUGAUACUGAUUGGCUUGAAUGCGGGAGAGGAUAGUGGAAUUCCCAGUGUAGAGGUGAAAUUCGUAGAUAUUGGGAAGAACACCGGUGGCGAAGGCGGCUAUCUGGCCCGUAAUUGACGCUGAGGCGCGAAAGCGUGGGGAGCAAACAGG
rnacentral:rRNA from 1 species